CCAAUCAGAGCGGUGCUUAAGGCGUGCCUAUUUACCAUGUAGUACUUGAGGCUGUGCUUGGUCUGUGAUGCAUACGUUCAUCAUACAUCAACCGCCUCAGUGGAACAACGGUUUAUAGGCCUUGCAGGGAGGAGUAGUUUUUACUCUGUCGACAAAAUGUAUAGGCUCUUCUUUACUAUUCUGUUGGCUUCGACCGUUGUGUAUCAUGUUUCUUCUCAGGUUAUUAAUUGCUACGAGUGCACGAUUGCUGGCAAAACGAACCAGGAGAAAAAUCUAAAGUGCCCUUCAGAUACGACCAAGUCUGUAGCGUGUCAAGAUAAACAGGUUUGCGGGCAAGAUGAGAAGACAAACCCAGGAUCGUUAGUGCUCGGCUGUUCGCCAGCAGGCCAAUUUGUUUCUUGCGUGACUCAAGAAUACUGCUGCGCAACGGAGCUUUGCAACAGAGUAGCGGCAGCGGUGGCCACCACGACAGCCAAGGCACCGACCAACACAACAGUUGCUGCAUCCGGUGGCCCCGGCCCCAACACCGCCCCUGCAUCGGGACAGUCUCCAGUUUCUUACUCGCUUUCCGCGCUACUGACCGUUGGUAUGGUCGUGAAAUGUCUGCUAUAAAUACUGGAGAUAAACUGUCACUUAGUUCGUAGUGGAUGGGGUUUAGCCUAUUUGAUCUUGGUGGACGCGUCACAAGAUAAUGUACAGGACAUGUAAUAAAAACAAUGUGUAAGAGCAAAAGACCAACACAUAAAUAUGCAUCCAAAUGUUUUUUGACAUUGAAAUUCGUAUCGAUUCGUCGCCAUGUCUCGUGCACAUCCGGGCGUCAACCAGAGCCUUGUCUUAGGUUUUACAUGGAAAAUUGUCCGACCCAUGAUAUUGAGCAACCUCUUGGCAACCAGUAAUGAUCGGGAGGUGGCCAGUAUCUAAUAUAAAGCACCUUUAUAUCAGGCAUGUCGGGACGAAUAACCUGCGUGGAACAGCGUAGUUGGUGGUUGAACUUCGUCUAUGACGUCCAUUCCUUUUACACCGGUUCAUUAACUUGAGACUUGACCGCCCCCAGUAUAAUGUGCAUUGAAGAGGCGAUGGUCCCUUCUACCGAUUGGUUCAAACUUGUCAGUCUUCAGGUUGUGGUAAGUUGAUGGACAGUAGCUGGCAGUUGGAAUGAACUGAUCACAUGUGACCUAACCACUUCUAUCAGUGGUUAUGGUGCGGUUAAUCAGUUUCCCUGUCUAUUAGCCUAGGUCUAUUGACAACGAAUCUUCAAUAAAAGAUAUCGCAUUGAUAAUAAAGUGAAAUCUUUAAGGCCUGCCAUCCUGACUGAACUCUUACUAUAACAUUGAUGCAAAGGCGAAAGAUUGGUGUCGCCUACCAUAUUCAGUCCUGACAGAACAAUGUUGAAGGCACCCAACGGCAAUGCGCAUGAUAUCGAAGGGGGCUUGGCUUGAAUAUCCAGAAUCGGUCUUAGAUCGGUGAGGCUAGAGUAUAUUAGUUCCUCAUUAUUCGAAAACUUCUACUAUUGUUGUUAUGAACUAGACUGUAUGUACAUGUGCGUGAUGCAAGUUCGCCAUGCAAGCUUUCAAGUCAAAUUAUUAUGACUACAUGUACCUGUAUAAUUUGAGAAAAAUAUAACAUAUUCAUGUGAUAAUACCAGUAUACCGCUAAUAGCUAUAGCACAUACAUGUACUAAACUUCCAGCGGCAUUGCCUCCGUUACCUCCGCCCAUACGCGCGUUGUCUGUAAAGUACAUUGAGGGUCAAGAUGCUGUAGCACAAUUGUUAAUAAAAUGAAUAGAUUAA